CCUCCAUUUCUUGGCAUACAUGCUGUUGCUCAGUAUUCAUGUGUGUAAUGUACGGAGGUAGAGCAAAGCCAGCGCUAUGUCUUCGGUACCGGUGUGUUCUUGUCUGCCGGUCCUAUCCUCAAACGCUGGUAUACUG